AUGAAAUGGAGCUGGAACAUCCUCUUCCUCCUGUCAGUAACUACAGUUGUCCACUCUCAGGUACAGCUGCAGCAGUCUGAGGCAGAGCUGAGGAGACCUGGGUCCUCAGUGAAGUUGUCCUGCAAGACUUCUGGCUACACCUUCACAGACCAUGAUAUGAGCUGGAUGAAGCAGAAGCCAGGACAGGGCCUGGAAUGGAUUGGAUGGAUUAUUACUUCAAAUGGUGGUACUGGCUACAAUCAGAAGUUCCAGGGCAAGGCCACACUGACUGUAGACAAAUCCUCUAGCACAGCCUACAUGGAGCUCAGCAGCCUGACAUCUGAGGACACUGCGGUCUAUUACUGUGCGAGAGACACAGUGUUGCAACCACAUCCUGGGUGUGUCAGAAACUCUGGAUGAGCA